rnacentral:rRNA from 1 species
UACGAAGGGGGCUAGCGUUGCUCGGAAUUACUGGGCGUAAAGGGCGCGUAGGCGGAUAUUUAAGUCGGGGGUGAAAGCCCGGGGCUCAACCUCGGAAUUGCCUUCGAUACUGGAUAUCUUGAGUUCGGGAGAGGUGAGUGGAAUGCCGAGUGUAGAGGUGAAAUUCGUAGAUAUUCGGCGGAACACCAGUGGCGAAGGCGACUCACUGGCCCGAUACUGACGCUGAGGCGCGAAAGCGUGGGGAGCAAACAGG